UGAACUUUUGUUGAUGAAUGGUUAAGAGAAGCUAAUUGUUGGCUAAAUGUAAAUAACAUUUGCCCAGAGAAAAUAAUAAAGUCCCCAGCAUUAAAGAGAAGCAGCACAUUAUAGCAGCUAACAAAGAAGUGACUAACAGCAACAAAGAUGGCAGCACUUAUCUGGCAUUUUGAGGGCAUGACCGUGAUGUUACGAAGCUCCGCUAUGAACUCAACAACACGGGGAGCUGAAGGCAAAGCACUUUUGGCCAUCUUUGUACCAGCUGACGACACCAUUUGGACGAGACAAUUCGCAGCUCAGAAUAAUUUCCUCAGGGACAUGACGGUCAAGGUGGACAUCCUCCUUGGGGUAGAUUAUCACCACCGGGGGUUCUUAGAAAGAAGAAUACAUGAAAUUGAAACAUUGUCCACUUCCAUCUUUGUACCACUGGACAACACCAUCAGCCCUUGAUACUUCACAUGACAGGACAAGCUGUUCUUUUUCCACAACACUCUUGAAAAGGUCCUCCUCUGGGAUAUCAACAAAUGUUACCGGUGGCGCUGCAGAAAACGGUACACAAAAGAAGAGUUUCAACCCAUCCUUGUACCAGUUGACAUGAGCAGAAGGAUCAUGAGAAAGUUCACAGCUGAGGACAAUGGAAGAACCUUCUUGGAUGGACUUGGUCCUGUCAGUCUCUUGAAGCUCUGAGAACUUCACAGCAAACUGGAUGUCAUCAUCCUUUGACUCACAACGGUAAACGCCAGUGUGAGCCCGCUCGGCUGAUGGGACAACUAGACUCCUCAAAUUUCCCUCUGACUGGAUGUCUACACCAUUUUGAGAUGCGAAAUCGAUAAUCGGCUUCACAUGGUACGCUGUCACCAAGGAUCUCCACAGAGGUUGCAGAGUCAGUGGUCAGGCACUGUAGCCACUCCUGUGAGCCAGUGCCCACUUCCUGUCGCUCAAGCACAUAUCCAGAUGGAGGGUUCUUUCGUGAGUCCUGAGCAGGAACCCAUGAGAGAAGAGCUGCAUUAGCACGCUCUGUGUUAAUCUGCACACUCACUGGAGAACUGGGAGGACAAUGUCUGGCCGCUGAAACAGGAGAAACCUAUUAUGCAUCAAUUUCUCUUUGGACCGGAAUAACUGAUCAGUUGAUCAAUUCUAAAAGUAAUUGCUCUCAAUAGACUUUGUGCAAAUAUUGUAUUUGGAAUGCUACAAUCUACAGAUGAGGGACCCUACCUUUCACUCUUAGCAUAGAGGAAGUCUUGGAUCUGCCUACAAGGAAAGUCACGAGGCCAGAGUCUUGGGGCAUUGUGUUGACGAAGACCAGGAUGUGAGUCCGACCAAAAGACUUAAGGAUGGUCUGAUGUGUUUCACGCAGCUCUAUUGCAUCUUUAUACCAAUCUACCUCUGCAAUGCUUCUGCCCCCGUCGGGCAUCUCGCAGAGGUAAAUCCCAUCAUCGUCAACUCCAAUGUCACGGAUAGUUAGUCGCCGUUUUGUUCCCCACUCCUCCAUUC